UACGGAGGGGGCAAGCGUUGUCCGGAAUUAUUGGGCGUAAAGCGCGUGUAGGCGGCCAGAAAAGUCCGCUGUGAAAACUCGAGGCUCAACUGCGAGCUGUCGGUGGAAACUUUCUGGCUAGAGUCCGGAAGAGGAGAAUGGAAUUCCUGGUGUAGCGGUGAAAUGCGCAGAUAUCAGGAAGAACACCCGUGGCGAAGGCGGUUCUCUGGGACGGUACUGACGCUGAGACGCGAAAGCGUGGGGAGCGAACAGG
rnacentral:rRNA from 1 species